UAGCCCCCAUUCUUAUUUCUCUCUCACAACACUAAGAUCUACAAGUCUACAGAGAGAGAGAGAGAGAGAGGGAGUGAAAGUCGUGAGAGAGAGGAUCGAUAAUAGAGAGAUAGAUGUGUGAGAGAUGUGGCAGCCGCACGCGACGGUGCAAGACCACAGCAGCGACGGCUGCAGGUUGGGCGACAGGGAGUUGUUUUAGAUCUAGUUUGGUGAUGGUUCAGGGGUUUGGCGGUGAUUGGUGGCGUAAACAAUGGUUACAGGGUGGUGGAAUGCAGCGGUUAAUGAUGGCGGAGAAACCACAGACAACAAGGGGCAGAGGUGACACGGUUAGGGUUCCUCCUAAUCUUAUGGUGGCAGCGAUGUGGCGGCUCAGCCAUCUCCUAAUGGUGGUGACAUUCUCAAGCAAUGACAAUACAGAUCUAAAGCUGGCUAGGGCAUGAAACGGAUUCCGGUGAUUCGGGUGUGGUAUUCCAGCAACCAUGGUGGUUGACGGUGGGUUUUGGUGGUUCUUUCCGGUGGCAGCGGCUUGGGUUUAUUGUUUAUUCUGACGAAGACAACUCUCAUCACAACUUAAUGUAUUAUCAUCAACAACGCAAUGUUCAGUUCAAUUAUGGUGAAUUAACUGUAAGUUGGUUUAAAUCUAGAUUAGUUUAGCAUCUAAACUCAAUUCGAAAAAACAACUUAAAAAAUUAAUAUAUAGUAGCACAUAUGUCUUAUUAACGAAAUGAGCAUUCUGAAUAUUUGUGAAUUUGUUGUUUUGUCAGUCAUGCCUGCAAUUUCAAGGCAGAACCUGUGCCUACCCUUUAAGUUUUGGUAGCACAUAUGUGUUAUUAAUCGGAUUCUGAUUUCAUUUAAUUUCCUAUUGGGAAUUUUCAUUGUUUGUACUAAGCAUUAUUAGGUUAUGUAUGAAUGAUAGUUCAGCUUUGACUUCUGUGAUGGAAUUGAGUCUUAUAAGCAUCAGGUAAUUGUUUCAGUGAGCAGAGGAGGUAUAGCUUCCUUAUCUUUUAUAGUUUUACUGAAAUCUUUCCUUUAAGUUGGUUUUAUUCAAAGAUUCUUGAGGUUCAUGUCAAUUUCUUUUAUUGUGUGGAGUUUUCUGUGUUUUGCUUAGUUAAAGCAAAUUAAAUGUUUUUAUAAAAGAUAUACUUUGGUAGUUUAGAUGGUGUUUCUUAAGACAGGUGGUACGAAUGUACGGUAGCUCGUUAAGUUCAUAUCAGUUGUUUAUUUUAUGCAAAAUAUUACGAGUUGAUUACUCGCUUACAGAGGUUGACUGUGAAUCUUUGUAUCAUUUAAUGUACCUUUAGUGAACCGAUGUGUUGAUAUGGACAAAGAGGUUUCUUGGUACCUGACAUGAUGCUUUUAUAUCAAUUAGUGUAUCCAAUUUUGUGUAAAAAAACCCAACCCGACCCGAAUCCCGUUCUGACUCGGACCUGUUCCGACACGGACUCGUUCUGACCCGAACCCGUUUCGACCCGAGCCAAAACAACUCUUUUUUAUAAUUGACCCAUUUUGACCCAUGACCUGACUCGACCCGUUUGCCAGGUCUAAACGUAGGGGUUCGGCUCAUUUAAUUAAGAGAACUUAAGCCUUGUGUGUGAGUAAUUUUUCAAGCUCGAGGUUGGCUGAUUUAUUUUUUACUAGUUAUUUAUUUAUAUGUGUAUAUAUUCAUUUAUUUAUAUAUUUAUAGUUAUAAGUUUAUGUAUAUAUAUUAUUGGUAUUUUUCUCAUUUUUAUAUACAAUACUAUCUAUUAUGCAAUCUCAUAGUUACUAUAGUAAAUAGAAGUUAUUAUAUUUUUAUCAAUAGUUGGCUUGUUUAGGCUCAUAAGCCUAGUCAAGUUUGAUAUAUGAGGCUCAGGCUUGUUUAUUAAACGAGCUGCAAUCUAGGAUCACGCUCAUUUUUUAAGCUUGGCUUGGUUCGAGCUUUUAGCAAACUGAUCUUGAGUAGCUCACUGGUGUAUCGGAUUGUUGACACCCCUAGUCAAACAGGUUGAAAGUCAUCUAAAGUUUUAUUAACGUACAAAACCUCCUAAAUGGUUUCAAUUAACUAUUACCGAAAUAAUACAAUAUUAUUUUUAUAAUCAUUUUGAUUUGUUAAGUUUCAAAGUUAAUGGACAAAAAGUGACGGGUCAACUCAACCUCGAGACUUAUUUCAACCUGUACAAAAGGAUUGGGUUGACCCAAACAUGUUACCCGACCCGACCCGGCCACGUUGCCACCUCUACUUUAUCUCUUAUAGUGUUAAAUCUUAUCUUAUGCAAGUUACAUUCUUGUUUCAAAUGAAGUUAAUCCGGAAUGGGAUUCAUCACAAGCCACAAUUGGUCAUGUGGAUGGAAAUAGUGACCUAGCUCACAGUGUGCUUGAGAACUGAUUAGAAUGCAUUGGUGCAUCCAUCGCAUGGUCCUAUCCAUUCAUCUCGGUAGUCCACGAGGAUUGAGGACGCAUGAUGACUCAAGAUUUUAUGCUUCUUAUUUCUUUAAUUGCUUUUAAUUUCUUUGUUAAAUGUUAAAACUUUAUGUUAGAUAAUGUUAUAACUUAUCUAUGGUUAGUGUUUUUGUUAUG